CGCAGCGUUUGAACGUCGCUCUGCGCUCGCUACGGCUGCUCGCAACUCGAGGACCGGUUUGGCCGGUGUGUGUUUUCGACCAAUAAUAAUUGUGCAGUGUACUCAAACUACUUUUGAAAACCUUCAGCUCAGUGGACGACUAAACUUGGAACUCCUGUGAAAAUUUUACUACUUUUUUGUGAAGUGUAAGUUCGCGGAAAGUUGUUUCGUCGCGUAGAGUGUAGUUUCAAAGUGACAUAAACUCAAGUAUUGUAUAGAUUGUGUUUUAUGUGUAACGCUCUGAUUUUUACUCGCACUAUCGUGAUGUUCAACAAUUAAUUUCCAAACUUUUCAUAGAUAUAUUUAUUAUUGGGGAAUCGACUCAUCAAUUUCAACUUAUGACCACAAUCUUACAGAAACCUCAUCAGUGCAGUUUAAAAAUGUCAUAAGGUCCUAAUUGGAUAUGAGAGGAUGAGCCAUGGAAUCACGGAGCGCGCCGCCCAGCCCCGACGAACCGGGGGAGGCGGUGUACGACACGCGUUGUGGUCGAUACCCAACGCCGUCCCUUCAGAGGACCUUUGCCAGUUGUCGCGAAACCACCAGACCUCGGCCACACCAUCGCCAUGCUGCUUCAGAACCGGCACGACCCGACGACCGUGUGCUAAUUACAGCUGAAGUACAUGACUACCCUUCCUCUGAAUCGGGAAUAGCAGCCGAUUGUCCCCAUCCUCACACGAGUAAUGCUGAUGACAGCCCUUCUUACGAUAGAUCUGAUUACGAAGGUAACUCGAGUUACAACUUGAGACACACAACAGACUAUCACCACACCUUAGAUUGUAAACAUCGGCCAAUCGAUUAUAAUCGGAGUCACACACCAGAUUAUAAUCAUGGUCAUGGCUCAGACUGUGACCGACCUCAUCCAAGGUCACAAACUGCUCGACGUCCUCAUAGAAAACAUAGACGAGAUGAAGAAGAUGGGGCCCAGUCAUUGGACGAAAGAUGUGCUCGCGAUUUAGAUGAAAUUUUACCAGCAAGAUUGGCAGCUGUCAAUUUGUCGAGAGAACCUCCUCCGCAAACUUGGAAUAGAAGUAACAUUGCUGCUACAAUGGAAAGAUUUGAGCCAGUCGACUAUUCUUAUGCUUAUUAUGAUCACCAUUUAUCUAUGCCAUCGUCAUCUAAAAAAGCCAAUCGUCAACGAGGUCGUGGUGGAAUUCCUCGAGAUCGCUCCGCGCGGCAUAAUUACGUCACUAGAUAUGGAACAGAAGAAAAUAUUUACGAAGAAAUAACUGAUGGUUCUAGGACGUGUCCAAAACAUCGAUAUGCUCCACGACAAUCGCUGGUUUCGUUAGAUCGAAGUGUAGUGGAAGAAGAAGUACGUAGGGUGGAGUCUAGGCAUAAAAGAAUUCUAGGUGAACUAAAUCUAAGCGUAGAAGCUAUGUUAAUGCCAGAAUGUGAAUCACCUGAUUCAGAAAGAGCAGAAGAUAGAGACAAUAUAGAAGAAUUGUUACGAGUAGGUCCUACAGAUGAAUUACUUUCUCCAGCAAGCUGUAAUCCACCUGAUUUAGAUAGUGGAUUUAGUGGCAGCAGUAGCGGAGCAAGCUAUGUUGGCAGUUUACGACGUAAGCCAACUGGAUCUGUACCUCACUUACCCGCGGUGGCAUAUGGGACACGUGGGGCUGGUGUUCGCAUACUUGGUGCUGAUGAAUGCGGUAUGCGGGGUCCAAGAGAUGCUACUUCACCCCGAAGUUCAAGCUGUGGGGAUGCAAAGACAACUGGAUUUUGGAAUAAAAAAGCGUGGAAAAAAAUAUCUGGUUUCUCAAGCUCUAAUAGCAUCAACAAAGCGGGACUGACUGGUCUGCUCGUUAGGUACACUUUCCGGCGUAAGUCCGGCUCGCAAGGCUCUCAGGGCAAGCGGCGUUCCGAGCCCGUCAAAUGCGAUGCGUGCCUCUCACAACGAUGUUAGCCGCUCUAUGAUGAAGCCUGUAGGCCAAGCAGAGCUAAAUCCAGAACAUCUACUAUGCCCUACAGCUACUCCAACGGAAAACUGGUGGUGCCGUUGGAUUCCCUAGCACAGAGCUGAGGGGCCCGGCCCCCUCACCAUCCCCGCUUCGAACUCCUUAGAGGGACUGCUAAACACAAAGGGACAACGAUAAACACGAGAAUAGUUACAUAAAUCACUAUGGAACUUUGUAAAUCAUUUUAACGGAAACAUUCCAAAUGACUUUAUGCGGAUAUAUUACAGUGUGACGACACCUUUAUGAGUCUCAAAGACAAACAGGUGUGUUGAAGUGUGCGGUGGAUACAAAAUGACUUUUGUAACGAGGCGUGUAUACGGUGAAGUGAUAGAAAAGCCUAAUUAAUUAUUUGUAUUGUUAUUGGAAUCGUUUCAUAGAAACGUAAUGACUACGUUGUUGUUACUUAUCAAUUUUUAGUAGUUAUAGAUACAAGAAAAGGCUGAGAAUUUGAAUCAGAUUUUGUACAUGAUAAAUGAUGCUGCCAUUUUAGCUAAAUUAAUAUCCAUUGUACUAAUGAUGUCCAAUGAACUUUGCUAUAUGAUGGUAUUGUUGAUGUAUUAAAAUAAUCUUAUACUCUCGGUCAUUUAAAUCAAAUAUUUAUAGUUGCACCAGUUUAUAUCGUCGUUCAGAGAGCAAGUCCAUUUUUUAUUUAAGUAUAAUAAAAAUUUCAGAUCUGAAUAAAUAUAAAACCGUGUGGUAUUUUUACAUUAUAAUUUUGACACUGUGAAGUUAUUAUUGAAAGACCUAACCAAAUAUAUAAUGAGAUAUUGAAAUAAAUAUCGUGGAUAUCGCAGAGGAGCAUAAUUAUACUGUAUUUAAAUUCUUUAAUGAUGUAUGUAUUUCGUAAUUGAUAAAAUUAUAUAGAUGGUCCAACCUAUUUAUUUUUAAUACCUUUUAAGAUCCGUGUAUAAACUUUGUUUUAUAUAAAUAAAAAGUUUUUCGUCGAGAUAACGCAAUUGUUAAUAAUUGUUAGUACAUAGUUGUAUAUUUUGUAAAUACAUAUAAAUGAUGGUGCACUCUGUUUUUAUGUUACUGUAUGACACAUUAUACGCAAAGUCACAUUUGAACUUGCUUUUUCAUUUAAGAGAUAGUUUGAAAGUUGAAUAUCGUCGGGCUGGGUAUAGUAUAGACACCAGGUAUAUAUGUAUAUGUCUUAGAAGCGUGAGUGUGAGUGACAUUAAUUAUUAUAUAAAUUUAUUUUUCCUAAUAUUUUUUUUUAUCUACCGCCAAAACCUUUGCCACUUUUGACUUUUUUACUUUUAAUUGCAUUAUAUAUGAUUUAAAAAUAGAAUUUAAAGUUUUUAUUUAUUUUUAUAAUAAAUACACUUUGAAACGUUGGUAUGUGUACAGAAAUAUAUAUGUUUUAUGAGCUUCCCUUAUUAAUAUGAAAAUACGUUGUGGACUUAAUCUAACAUUUUAAUCUACACAGAACUAUAUAGGAACAAGGAAAACUAUGUGAAUUGAUGUCGACCAAUUUUGAAUGCAACUAAAAAUUUUAAUUGAUUCUCUAUAAUUUUCUAACAAAAUUUUCCAAGAAACCACUAAACGCGUAAUAUUUUUUUUUAGAUUAAAUUUAUUAUGUAGCCUGUGGCCAUAAUUAAUUAUAAGGCGCCAUCAUGUGGAGACCUUAGUCUAAUGUGAUAAAGACCACACGGAGGAAGUCCUGCUAGUACCAUAUCAAAACAAGUUAGAAAUCAAAAACGUUGCAACUCAAAUCAGAGUGCAAAAAACCAAUGCAGCUAUUAUUUAUGUUAUCGUUCUUUGAAAAAAAUCUUUGCUACGAAGUAAAUCUAUGGAAAUAAAUGAAAAGCGAGUGACGUUCGUCAUUCCUCUUUUGUCUUAUAGUUUGCACGGUCUAUAAAAUUGCGGGUUUUCUUGAAUGUUCUUUUUUAUGAUUCUAGCAUUAGUUUGUAUGUAAAAGAAACGAAUGCUAUCCGCUACAAGUACAUAGAUUUUUGUUUUGUAAAAAUGGUUUUAGCAAGGUUUGGCGCAGCAAAAAACCCCUUUUGUUAGAGAAAGACUACUAGACCUCUCUAGAUUUCAUUAUUUUAACGCUGUUUUCAAUUAAACUUGCUACACAUUCACACUCUAAUGACAUUGUGUUAUCAUGUCUGACGAUAUAAAAAUAGCUCUAGACUUAACAAUCUAUUUUCAAAGAUGUGUUUGUAGAAAAAUAUACAUGUUAUUAACUUUGGGUAUCUUUAACCUUUCCACGCCUAAAUAAACUCGUAUUUGCAUGAAUUACAGUGUGUACAAACCUCAAAGUUAGUUUCCUUAUAUUAUGGCAUACACACACAUAUCACAUUUUGAUAAAUAUUUCAUGGUAAUAUGGCUUAAUGAUGGAAGUAAGAUUCAGAACUAGUGACAGUUUACCGAAGCCUACGGCCUCAAGAAGAAUUCCAUGAAUUAAAAUUAUAGCUUAUGGCCUACUAACUCUACGAUAUAAUAAUUUUAUUGAAUUUCAGCUGCGAUUUUUCGAUCAGCUGCCUAAAAGUUCUAGAAAUUUCUGAAUGCAAAUAAAAUAUAUUUAAUAUAUAUAAAAAAAAAAAAUAGCGGCCAAACUUUCAGGCUUGUAUAAACAAACCCGUUCUAUGGUGGAACUCCUACCGCGGACAUAUCAAUAAAACUUUACAUUAUUAAUAAUAAAUUUAUUACAAGGUAUAUAUUUCUACAAACACAUUGUAUAGGAAAAAUAUCGCUUACUCUACGGCCUAUUUUCACUUAAAUUUAUGUAAAUAUAGUGUACAAUUAUUCACAUCAGUCACGUCGCAAUACCUUCGCUGUAUUGGUUUUGUAACUAAAGCAAAUACUUUUAUUUGUGCCGCGUUAGUUGUUGGUAGAACAGAUAUAAAACAUUGGUAUUGGUACUUACCCUAAAAUGUAUUCAAAUUAAUAUUAUUUUAUUAAAAUUGUUCAUUUUUGAUAACAUUUGAUUGGGUUAAUCUAUCCAAUAGGUUUUUAGUCAAGCCUGUGACUUGAUAAUACAAAAUGUUUUUUUGGAUUUUUGUAGAUUUCUUGACAGCAUAUGAGACAGAAAUUUUAAUGAUUGCGAACAUAAAUAAAGAGACAAAUGUCCUUGAGUUAACGAAGUAGAUUAUUUAUUUAUAGGUAUAAAAUUAUUUGUUUGUUUCUUUGUAAUAUCUGUAUUGCACAGAAAUUUAUACAGUUACAAGCAAUAGUACAUAGUAAUAAAAUAAAAUUAUUUUUUAUAUAAUUUACAACCAAAAAUCAGUGCUACCAACAUCAUAACGUAUUAUCAUAAAAGAUUCUACUGUUCUAAGCUUUUUGACUGAUAAAAACGUAAAUAAUCUCAAUGUUACAUGAAUUUCUUUGUCUGUAAUUUAGUGAUCGUGUUCAAGUCAAAAAAGAUUUUUAUCAA